rnacentral:rRNA from 1 species
GAUGAACGCUAGCGGCAGGCCUAAUACAUGCAAGUCGAGGGAGAAUGUUGGAUUCGUCUGACAUGAAACCGGCGCACGGGUGCGUAACGCGUAUGCAACCUACCUUUAACUGGGGUAUAGCUCAGAGAAAUCUGAAUUAAUCCCCCAUAAGACUACGACAUGGCAUCAUGAUGUAGUUAAAGCUCCGGCGGUUAAGGAUGGGCAUGCGGUACAUUAGCUAGUUGGUGAGGUAAUGGCUCACCAAGGCUACGAUGUAUAGGGGGUCUGAGAGGAUGAUCCCCCACACUGGGACUGAGACACGGACCAGACUCCUACGGGAGGCAGCAGUAGGGAAUAUUGGUCAAUGGACGCAAGUCUGAACCAGCCAUGCCGCGUGAAGGAUGAAGGCCCUAUGGGUCGUAAACUUCUUUUACUAGGGAAGAAAAAACGUGAUGCGUCCUGUACUGACGGUACUUAAUGAAUAAGGAUCGGCUAACUUCGUGCCAGCCGCCGCGGUAA